GAUGAACGCUGGCGGCGUGCCUAAUACAUGCAAGUCGAGCGAACAGACGAGGAGCUUGCUCCUCUGACGUUAGCGGCGGACGGGUGAGUAACACGUGGAUAACCUACCUAUAAGACUGGGAUAACUUCGGGAAACCGGAGCUAAUACCGGAUAAUAUAUUGAACCGCAUGGUUCAAUAGUGAAAGACGGUUUUGCUGUCACUUAUAGAUGGAUCCGCGCCGCAUUAGCUAGUUGGUAAGGUAACGGCUUACCAAGGCAACGAUGCGUAGCCGACCUGAGAGGGUGAUCGGCCACACUGGAACGGAGACACGGUCCAGACUCCUACGGGAGGCAGCAGUAGGGAAUCUUCCGCAAUGGGCGAAAGCCUGACGGAGCAACGGCGAGUGAGUGAUGAAGGUCUUCGGAUCGUAAAACUCUGUUAUGAGGGAAGAACAAAUGUGUAAGUAACUAUGCACGUCUUGACGGUACCUAAUCAGAAAGCCACGGCUAACUACGUG
rnacentral:rRNA from 1 species